rnacentral:tRNA from 1 species
GGUGGCUCAGUGGUAGAGCGCCUGCCUGGCAUACAUGCUGCCCUGAGUUCGAUUCCUCAGCACCA